rnacentral:sRNA from 1 species
UUGCUAUCUGCGAUAUGGAAGAUUCGAACCUGCCGCAGGUCCGGGACUCACGCAGUGAGACAACGGAGCCGCUUGCGGCGACGGCCCGAAGGGCGAGCGAAGCGAGUCAUCCUGCACGACCCACCA